UUCAUGGAGAGUUUGAUCCUGGCUCAGGACGAACGCUGGCGGCGUGCCUAAUACAUGCAAGUCGAGCGGACAGAUGGGAGCUUGCUCCCUGAUGUUAGCGGCGGACGGGUGAGUAACACGUGGGUAACCUGCCUGUAAGACUGGGAUAACUCCGGGAAACCGGGGCUAAUACCGGAUGCUUGAUUGAACCGCAUGGUUCAAUUAUAAAAGGUGGCUUUUAGCUACCACUUACAGAUGGACCCGCGGCGCAUUAGCUAGUUGGUGAGGUAACGGCUCACCAAGGC
rnacentral:rRNA from 2 species